GUGGUCCUCGGCCGCCCACAUGCCAACCAGAAGUACACAGGGAUUGGCAUGGCCCAUGUGCAAGGAUAACUCAACCAUUUGUGAAGAUUUCCAUAUUAAA
rnacentral:snRNA from 14 species